AACGAACGCUGGCGGCAUGCCUAACACAUGCAAGUCGAACGAGACCUUCGGGUCUAGUGGCGCACGGGUGCGUAACGCGUGGGAACCUGCCCUUAGGUUCGGAAUAACUCCCCGAAAGGGGUGCUAAUACCGGGUAAUGUCUUCGGACCAAAGAUUUAUCGCCUUUGGAUGGGCCCGCGUUGGAUUAGCUGGUUGGUAGGGUAAAAGCCUACCAAGGCGACGAUCCAUAGCUGGUCUGAGAGGAUGAUCAGCCACACUGGGACUGAGACACGGCCCAGACUCCUACGGGAGGCAGCAGUGGGGAAUAUUGGACAAUGGGCGAAAGCCUGAUCCAGCAAUGCCGCGUGAGUGAUGAAGGCCUUAGGGUUGUAAAGCUCUUUUACCCGGGAUGAUAAUGACAGUACCGGGAGAAUAAGCACCGGCUAACUCCGUG
rnacentral:rRNA from 1 species